CAAGUUCAUUGACAUUGUGUCAAAAUGGCCCGGGUCAACACACAUGACGCCUCUGUCUUUGACAGCUCUGGUUUGAACUUUGAAGACCUUUCUUGGAAGAAAACCACCUGGGAUACCUACUUGGCGACUCCGGCUAUUCGUUAAAAAAAUAUGUAUAAACGCCCUUGCUUAGGCCAACAACAGAUGCAGUGGUGAGGUUCAACCAUGCCCAGUCAAGUGGUUGGAUUGUGGUUGAGAGGGCUUUUGGACUGCUGAUAGUAGAUUAAGGUGUCUACAUAAAACUGGAGGAUGUUUAUUCAUGAGACUCGAUGAGUGCUGUCAAGCAGUGGAUGCAUGAAUGCGCCUACACAACUUAUGCAUAGAUCAGCAGGUACUACUGCCUUAACAACUUAUUGAGGCACAGGAAGUGGAUUAUGUUGUGCACGGUGCCCCACAAUAGGAUAAAAUGCAGCACUUAUAGACAUGAUUAACUUAUUUAUGUAGAUGUUGUGUCAUGCUCACUUAUGCAUG